UACAGCUUUAACUCCCAACAACAUUGGUCCCUUGGCAGCCCAAUCUCGGGAGCUUCCACUUCCAUAUUCAGCUCCAGCCAAGAUAAUAGUGCUUUGUCCAGCGGAUUUGUAUUUCAUAGCAGCAUCAAACACAGAUAGCUUUUCCCCAGAAGGAAUGUGGACCGUCUUUGGACCAACCUCCCCGUUUAACAGCUUGUUUACAAGGCGGAUAUUGGCGAAAGUACCCCUAGCCAUAAUCUCAUCAUUACCACGACGGCUACCAUAUGAGUUGAAGUCCCUG
rnacentral:misc_RNA from 1 species